UGUAAGUAUGGCCUUCUAGAGUCUCAAGAAUGUGUUGGAGAUUUUUAAAGCCCUCAAUGGAUAAUUUAUUUCCCAGUUUUUAUUUCUUGGUUUUAUUUGUCAGUCUCUAAUUAGCCCUAACUCAUAUUGCCACCUCAGAUGCGUGUGAUGUUAAACAAUUGCCAUCGAAUGUUUUUGAGACUCAAUCUAGGGCUAUGGCUUUUUGCAUUGAGUGAGCUCUGAGGUGAGAUAAGGACAAAUUUGAGUAUAGAGCUUGUUUCAGUGAAUUAUUAGGUAGGUCAAAUAGUUGCAGUUCUAUAGGAAUUGGUUUUUGUGGGGUGCUCUAAAUCCGUUGUGUCCCAGUGGUUCCUAAGCAUCUGGUUUUUGUAUUCACUGUAGUUGCAGAGAUGUUGGUUUUCAAGGCUACCAUGGAGCUGGAGAGAGGAGGAUGAGAAUACACAAAGCUCCCUGUUCUUACUGAAAUAAAACCCCCUUUUUUUUUUAGGGCAGGUGGUGCGGAUAGUCUCAUUCUGUGGUCCUGGCAGGCUGCAGUGCAGUGGCAUGAUCAUUGCUCAUUGCAGCCUCUAACUUCUGGUCUUAAGCGAUCCUGCCUCAGCCUCUUGAGUAGCUGGUACUACAGGCACGUGCCACCAUGCCCAGCUAAUUUUCUUUUUUUAGACGGAGACUCGCUCUGUCACCCAGGCUGGAGUGCAGUGUCGCAAUCUCGGCUCACUGCAACCUCUGCCUCCCAGGUUCAAGCGAUUCUCCUGCCUCAUCCUCCCGAGUAGCUGGGACUACAGGCCCGAGCCACCACGCCCAGCUAAUUUUUUGUAUUUUUAGUAGAGACGGGGUUUCACCGUGUUAGCCAGGAUGGUCUGGAUCUCCUUACCUCGUGUUCCUCCCACCUCAGCCUCCCAAAGUGCUGGGAUUACAGGCGUGAGCUACCGUGCCAGGCCAAUUUUCUUUUUUUUUAAUUUGUUGUAGAGACAGGAUCUCUCUAUGUUGCCCAGGAUACUCUUUAAUUUCUGGCUUCAAGCGAUCCUCCUGCCUCAGCCUCCCAAAAUGCUGAGAUUGUAGGCAUGAGCUACCACACCUGGCCUUGAAAUAAAGCCUUUGAAAAAAAGUACUCCUUGGAUUGUUGCAAGACUAUUAUCCAGAGUUCUGAAAAUGUUGAUUUUGACCAUUUUUGCCACUUCUCCUCAUUGCUUUUGAGAGGUGAAGCCAGCUGGGCUUCUGGGUCCGGUGGGGACUUGGAGAACUUUUCUGUCUAGCUAAAGGAUUGUAAACACACAAAUCAGCUCUCUGUGUCUAGCCAAAGGUUUGUAAGUGCACCAAUCAGCACUCUGUAAAAACUGAUCAAUCAGCACUCUGUAAAAUAGACCAAUCAGCACUCUGUAAAAUGGACCAAUCAGCAGGACAUGGGCAGGGCCAAACAAGGGAAUAAAAGCUGGCCACCCAGCUAGCAGGGGCAACCCGCUGGGGUACCCUUCCAUGCUGUGGAUGCUUUGUUCUUUCGCUCUUCACAAUAAGUCUUGCGGCUGCUCACUCUUUGUAACACUGACUGCGAAGGUCUGCAGCUGCAUUCCUGAAGUCAGUGAGACCAUGAACCCAUGGGGAGGAACAAACAACUCUGGAUGCCCGUCGCCUUUAAGAGCUGUAACACUCGCUGUGAAGGUCUGCGGCUUCACUCCUGAAGUCAAGCGAGACCACGAACCCACCAGAAGGAAGAAACUCGACGUAUCUGAACAUCUGAAGGGACACACCAUCUUUAAGAACUGUAACACUCACCACGAGGGUCCGUGGCUUCAUUCUUGAAGUCAGCGAGACCAAGAACCCACUGGAAGGAACCAAUUCUGGACACACUUUGACAGAGCAGAUUUUUGGAUGUCCUUACUCUGCUAUUGUGGAAGUGCUUCUGGUUAAUAUGUUUGUUAAAUAUCCAUUCUUAUUUCCCAUGGGUUUUUUGUUUGUCUUUGUUUUAGCUAAGAGUGAUUUUAAUAAUGACUAUUUUGAUAUCUCAGGCUCUGCAGGGGGGUUGGAAAGCCACACUUGGAAACGCUCAUGCAGGAAAUAUUUCCAAAAUCACACAAGAACUGGAUUCAUAAAGACACCUGUUUCUGCUGCUGCUGCUGCUCUUGCUACACACAGAUGCUGCUCCUUUCACCAUUAUCAGUGCUAGAUACUGGAUGUUGUUGCUAGAACCACUGCUCCUUCUGAAAAGUCAUUGCCACCAUGGCUGCCCCCUGUCCCAGCAUUGAUUCCACAAAAUUCCUACUUCUUUUGAUUCACCCUUCAGGCUCAAAGUCCAAUGCAAGAGAAUUCUGAUCGAUAGAGCUGAGUUAACAUGUCUAUGCUCUGGGUAUAUGGGAGCCUGGGAAAGUGAUUUUUAAAUUUCUAUAUUGGGUGGUACUCUUGGUACAUCACGACUCAUAGGAUGGGAAUUCUUCAAACAUGGGAAAUAACUCUCUAUAUUCCAUAAAACCUGUACAAUGUCAUAAUAAAAAUGAUGUACUUAAUUUUUAAAAAGUUUUAAUUGACACACAAUAAUUGUACAUAUUUAUUGGAUACAAUAUGAUGUAUUAAUACCUGUAUACAUUGUGUAGUGAUCAAUUCAAGGUAAUUAACAUAUCCAUCAUCUCAAACAUUUAUCAUUUCUUUAUGGUGGGAACAUAAAAAUCCUUUCUUCUAGCUAUUUUGAGAUAUACCUUAUUUUUGACUAUAGUCACCCUACUGUAAAAUAGGAUACCAGCAUUUAUUCUUCCUAAUUGUAACUCUGUACCCGUUGACCAUCCUCUUCCCAUCCCCUCCUUCUCCCUACCCUCCCCAGUCUCUGGUAACUGCUGUUCCAUUAACUACUUCUGUGAAAUCAACUUUUUUAGAUUCUACAUGUAAAUGAGAACAUGUGAUAUUCAUCUUUCUGUGUCUGGUGUAUUUCCCUUAACAUAAUGUCUUCUAGGUUCAUCGAUGUUGUCACAGAUUUUGCUUUUAUCUUUUUUUUUUUUUUUUUUUUUUGAGAUUGAGUUUCACUCGUCAUCCAGGCUGGAGUGCACUGGCACGAUCUUGGCUCACUGCAACCUCCGCCUCCUGGUUUCAAGUGAUUCUCCUGCCUCAGCCUCCCGAGUUGCUGAGACUACAGGCGCACACCACCACACCUGGCUAUUUUGGGUUUUCGCCAUGUUGGCCAGGCUGGUCUCAAACUCCUGACCUCAGGUGAUCCACUCCCCUUGGCUUCCCAAGGUGCUGGGAUUACAGGUGUGAACCACCUCGCCUAGCCCUACCAUAUUUUUUUUAUCCAUUCUUCUGAUGAUGGACACUUAGGUUGAUUCUAUAUCUUGACUAUUGGGAAUAAUGUUGCAAUAAACAUGAGAGUGCAGAUAUUUGUUUGACAUAUUGAUUUCAUUUCCUUUGGAUAUAUACUCAAUAAUGGGAUUGCUGGAUCAUAUGGUAGCCCUGUUUUUAAUUUUUUGAGGAGCCUCUAUAUUGUUUUCCAUAAUGGCUGUACUAAUUUAUAUUAUCACAGUGUGAAAGGGUUCUCUUUUCUCCACAUUCGUUGCCCACACUUAUCCUUUUUUCUUUUUUCUUCUUUUUUGAGACAAAGUCUGGCUCUAUUGCCCAGGCUGGAUCCUUUGUCUUUUUGAUCAUUAAUUUGCACUUUAUAUUCUUGCUUACUAUAAUAAAUGUUGCUUACCAUAAGUCUCUUUUAAUCUUAGAUCCACCUACAUUUCCCACUUCUUUUCAUGUCAUUUACUUGUUGAAGAAAUGGGAUAUUCUUAUGAAUUUUCCACAUUUUAGAUUUGGAUGGUUGCAUCUUCAUGGUAGUUUAACAUGUGCCUUUAUUUCUUUUCCUGAUUACUGGUAGUUGGUUCUAGAUGUGGCUGCUUUUGUUUGUUGUUGAUUUUUUUGGUUUUACCAUAGUGCAUCUUCGUGGAGAUUUUUAUUUAUUUUUCCUAAUUGCAAUUGCAAUUUGUAGGGUAUAUUAUAUUUGUAGAUUCAUUUGUCACUUCUGGAAAAUUUUAAGCCAUUACCUCUUGAAAUGUUGCCUCUUACUCUCACUUCUAAAACUCUAUUUUUUUUUUUUUUUUUUUUUUUGAGACAGAGUCUUGCUGUGUCGCCUAGGGGCUGGAGUGCAGUGGCACGAUCUUGGCUCACUGCAACCUCUGCCUCCCAGGUUCAUGCGAUUCUCCUGCCUCAGCCUCCCGAGUAGCAGGGAUUACAGGCAUGCACCAUCACACCUAAUUUUUGCAUUUUUAGUAGAGACAGGGUUUCACCAUAUUGGCCAGGCUGGUCUCGAACUCCUGGCCUCAAAUGGUCUGCCCGCCUUGGCCUUCCAAAGUGCUGGGAUUACAGGUGUGAGCCACCAUGCCCAGCCAGCGUUUUUGAUAUUUUAAAAGCCUGUUAGACGUUACAUAUCAUUAAAAAAUGUACACAAGUUAACAGAAAUAUUCUUGAUUUGGCUGCCAUUAAAUUAACUUGGUAUGAUGCGAAUUAUCACAUUGUAGUUCUGACAGCUAUAUAUCUUUGAUUAAUAGAAAUGUUAUUACAUAAUGAGAGCAAUAUAUUUGACAAAUAAAGCCAUUCAAAACACAUUGUCUAUGGAGAGAAGAAAUUUAAAGGGUUUCCUGGUGAUGAAAUAUUGAAAUUAUUCUAUAAUACCACUUAACCCCCACUGCUCCCACCCUCCUGUCAUUCCUCUGCUUGCAGGGUCUAUGAAAAACAUAUAUGCCCCAGAUGUUUCAUGGUUCAAGGGCAAUCUAAAUAGUGAGUCAAUUUCAUAGGCCAUGUCUUUCAUGGGAAGAGUAGUUGCUCCAGAUUAUCCAGGCUCAAAUUCCAUUAGAGGAACAAGAAUGGAUCAAUUGUAAUAUAAUCCUACUUUGCUACAAUAGAGCUCAACACUCAGAAACCAAGUGUAUUAAAGAUUACUGACCAGUCUUAAUGCUUAAAGUCAAGUAUGCCUGAUAGGAGUUUUAUAGUUUAAUAGACUGCAGAAUGUAAUCAGCAUUGGUGCAUUCAAUUAGCUGACUUCCUCAUUUUAAAAUCAGGGGAUUAAAGCUAAAGCUGGGCAUGGUGACACAUGCUGGUAAUCCCAGCACUUUGGGAGGCCUAAACGGUAGGAUCACUGGAGCCCAGGAGUUCGAGACCAGCCUGGGCAACAUAGUGAGUCCCUGUCUCUAAGAUGAUAAAACAAAAAAAAAAAAAAAAAAAAAAGGGAGGGCUCAUGAGCAUAAGAAACUUACCAGUUUUGUGAGAUCACCCGU
rnacentral:lncRNA from 1 species